UACAGAGGUCCCGAGCGUUGUUCGGAUUCAUUGGGCGUAAAGGGUGCGUAGGCGGCGGGGCAAGUCUGAUGUGAAAUCCCGGGGCUCAACCCCGGAACUGCAUUGGAUACUGCCUUGCUUGAGUAUGGGAGAGGUGAGUGGAAUUUCCGGUGUAGCGGUGAAAUGCGUAGAUAUCGGAAGGAACACCUGUGGCGAAAGCGGCUCACUGGACCAUUACUGACACUGAGGCACGAAAGCUAGGGGAGCGAAUGGG
rnacentral:rRNA from 1 species